rnacentral:rRNA from 1 species
UUGAACGCUGGCGGCAGGCCUAACACAUGCAAGUCGAGCGGAUGAAGGGAGCUUGCUCCUGGAUUCAGCGGCGGACGGGUGAGUAAUGCCUAGGAAUCUGCCUGGUAGUGGGGGAUAACGUCCGGAAACGGGCGCUAAUACCGCAUACGUCCUGAGGGAGAAAGUGGGGGAUCUUCGGACCUCACGCUAUCAGAUGAGCCUAGGUCGGAUUAGCUAGUUGGUGGGGUAAAGGCCUACCAAGGCGACGAUCCGUAACUGGCCUGAGAGGAUGAUCAGUCACACUGGAACUGAGACACGGUCCAGACUCCUACGGGAGGCAGCAGUGGGGAAUAUUGGACAAUGGGCGAAAGCCUGAUCCAGCCAUGCCGCGUGUGUGAAGAAGGUCUUCGGAUUGCAAAGCACUUUAAGUUGGGAGGAAGGGCAGUAAGUUAAUACCUUGCUGUUUUGACGUUACCAACAGAAUAAGCACCGGCUAACUUCGUG